CGGGGUAUAGCGCAGCCUGGUAGCGCACCUGCUUUGGGAGCAGGCCGUCGGGGGUUCAAAUCCCUCUACCCCGA
rfam:Gammaproteobacteria bacterium GWE2_37_16 gwe2_scaffold_1971, whole genome shotgun sequence.